rnacentral:rRNA from 1 species
CGGACGGGUGAGUAAUGUCUGGGAAACUGCCUGAUGGAGGGGGAUAACUACUGGAAACGGUAGCUAAUACCGCAUAACGUCACAAGACCAAAGAGGGGGACCUUCGGGCCUCGCGCCAUCAGAUGAACCCAUAUGGGAUUAGCUUGUAGGUAAGGUAACGGCUUACCUAGGCGACGAUCCCUAGCUGGUCUGAGAGGAUGAUCAGCCACACUGGGACUGAGACACGGCCCAG